rnacentral:rRNA from 1 species
GGGGAAUAUUGGACAAUGGGCGAAAGCCUGAUCAAGCCAUGCCGCGUGUGUGAAGAAGGUCUUCGGAUUGUAAAGCACUUUAAGUUGGGAGGAAGGGCUGCAAGUUAAUACCUUGUAGUUUUGACGUUACCAGCAGAAUAAGCACCGGCUAACUUCGUGCCAGCAGCCGCGGUAAUACGAAGGGUGCAAGCGUUAAUCGGAAUUACUGGGCGUAAAGCGCGCGUAGGUGGUUUGGUAAGAUGGAUGUGAAAUCCCCGGGCUCAACCUGGGAACUGCAUCCAUAACUGCCUGACUAGAGUACGGUAGAGGGUGGUGGAAUUUCCUGUGUAGCGGUGAAAUGCGUAGAUAUAGGAAGGAACACCAGUGGCGAAGGCGGCUCACUGGACCAUUACUGACGCUGAGGUGCGAAAGCGUGGGGAGCAAACA